rnacentral:rRNA from 1 species
UAGGGAAUCUUCGGCAAUGGACGGAAGUCUGACCGAGCAACGCCGCGUGAGUGAAGAAGGUUUUCGGAUCGUAAAGCUCUGUUGUAAGAGAAGAACGAGUGUGAGAGUGGAAAGUUCACACUGUGACGGUAUCUUACCAGAAAGGGACGGCUAACUACGUGCCAGCAGCCGCGGUAAUACGUAGGUCCCGAGCGUUGUCCGGAUUUAUUGGGCGUAAAGCGAGCGCAGGCGGUUAGAUAAGUCUGAAGUUAAAGGCUGUGGCUUAACCAUAGUACGCUUUGGAAACUGUUUAACUUGAGUGCAAGAGGGGAGAGUGGAAUUCCAUGUGUAGCGGUGAAAUGCGUAGAUAUAUGGAGGAACACCGGUGGCGAAAGCGGCUCUCUGGCUUGUAACUGACGCUGAGGCUCGAAAGCGUGGGGAGCAAACAGGAUUAGAUACCCUGGUAGUCCACGCCGUAACGAUGAGUGCUAGGUGUUAGACCCUUUCCGGGGUUUAGUGCCGUAGCUNACGCAUUAAGCACUCCGCCUGGGGAGUACGACCGCAAGGGUUG